rnacentral:rRNA from 1 species
UACGAAGGGGGCUAGCGUUGUUCGGAUUUACUGGGCGUAAAGCGCACGUAGGCGGAUCGUUAAGUCGGGGGGUGAAAUCCUGGAGCUCAACUCCAGAACUGCCUUCGAUACUGGCGAUCUCGAGUCCGGAAGAGGUGAGUGGAACUCCUAGUGUAGAGGUGGAAUUCGUAGAUAUUAGGAAGAACACCAGUGGCGAAGGCGGCUCACUGGUCCGGUACUAACGCUGAGGUGCGAAAGCGUGGGGAGCAAACAGG